CCGAGUUUUCAACUCCCAAACCCCAAUGUGAACCUACCUAUUCUGUUGCUUCGGCGGGAUCGCCCCGGGCGCGGCCGAGAGGCCAGCCCCGGACACAACGCGCCCCGCCGGAGGACCCAAACUCUUCUGUUUCUCACAGCGGUUAUAUUCUGAGUGGCCCCAUCGCGGGCAAAACAAAAAUGAAUCA
rnacentral:misc_RNA from 1 species